rnacentral:rRNA from 1 species
UUAUAAUUUAAAGUCUGGCCUGCCCUAUGAAUAAUUUUUAAAUGGCUGCGGUAUUUUGACCGUGCAAAGGUAGCAUAAUAAUUAGUUUCUUAAUUGGGAACUGGAAUGAAAGGUCGCACGAGAAAAAGACUGUCUCAAUUUAAUUUAAAUUAGAAUUUUAUUUUUAAGUAAAAAAGCUUAAAUGUUAUUAAAAGACGAGAAGACCCUAUAGAGUUUUAUAAUUUUUUAAAUAUUUAAAAGUUAAAGUAUUUUAGAUUUAAUUAUUUAUAAAAUUAUUUGAUUGGGGCGAUUAAAAAAUUGAAUGAACUUUUUUUAUUUAUAAACAUUGAUAUAUGAUUAAUUGAUCCAUAAAGAUAUGAUUAUAAGAUUAAAUUACCUUAGGGAUAACAGCGUAAUUUUUUUUGAGAGUUCUUAUCGAAAAAAAAGUUUGCGACC